UAAUACGGAGGAUCCAAGCGUUAUCCGGAAUCAUUGGGUUUAAAGGGUCCGUAGGCGGUUUAAUAAGUCAGUGGUGAAAGCCCAUCGCUCAACGGUGGAACGGCCAUUGAUACUGUUAAACUUGAAUUAUUAGGAAGUAACUAGAAUAUGUAGUGUAGCGGUGAAAUGCUUAGAGAUUACAUGGAAUACCAAUUGCGAAGGCAGGUUACUACUAAUGGAUUGACGCUGAUGGACGAAAGCGUGGGUAGCGAACAGGAUUAGAUACCCUGGUAGUCCGCGCCGUAAACGAUGGAUACUAGCUGUUGGGAGCAAUCUCAGUGGCUAAGCGAAAGUGAUAAGUAUCCCACCUGGGGAGUACGUUCGCAAGAAUGAAACUUAAAGGAAUUGACGG
rnacentral:rRNA from 1 species